rnacentral:rRNA from 1 species
GGGUUGUGAGGUUAAGCGACUAAGCGUACACGGUGGAUGCCCUGGCAGUCAGAGGCGAUGAAGGGCGUGCUAAUCUGCGAUAAGCGCCGGUAAGGUGAUAUGAACCGUUAUAACCGGCGAUACCCGAAUGGGGAAACCCAGUGUGACUCGUCACACUAUCAUUAACUGAAUCCAUAGGUUAAUGAGGCGAACCGGGGGAACUGAAACAUCUAAGUACCCCGAGGAAAAGAAAUCAACCGAGAUUCCCCCAGUAGCGGCGAGCGAACGGGGAGGAGCCCAGAGCCUGAAUCAGCAUGUGUGUUAGUGGAAGCGUCUGGAAAGGCGCGCGAUACAGGGUGACAGCCCCGUACACAAAAGCGCAUGUGCUGUGAGCUCGAUGAGUAGGGCGGGACACGUGGUAUCCUGUCUGAAUAUGGGGGGACCAUCCUCCAAGGCUAAAUACUCCUGACUGACCGAUAGUGAACCAGUACCGUGAGGGAAAGGCGAAAAGAACCCCGGCGAGGGGAGUGAAAAAGAACCUGAAACCGUGUACGUACAAGCAGUGGGAGCACAGGUUUACCUGUGUGACUGCGUACCUUUUGUAUAAUGGGUCAGCGACUUAUAUUCUGUAGCAAGGUUAACCGCAUAGGGGAGCCGGAGGGAAACCGAGUCUUAAUUGGGCGUUAAGUUGCAGGGUAUAGACCCGAAACCCGGUGAUCUAGCCAUGGGCAGGUUGAAGGUUGGGUAACACUAACUGGAGGACCGAACCGACUAAUGUUGAAAAAUUAGCGGAUGACCUGUGGCUGGGGGUGAAAGGCCAAUCAAACCGGGAGAUAGCUGGUUCUCCCCGAAAGCUAUUUAGGUAGCGCCUCGUGAAUUCAUCUCCGGGGGUAGAGCACUGUUUCGGCUAG